AGAGUUUGAUCCUGGCUCAGGAUGAACGCUGGCGGCGUGCCUAACACAUGCAAGUCGAACGGACUUACAUUGAAGCCUAGCGAUAUGUAAGUUAGUGGCGGACGGGUGAGUAACGCGUGGGUAACCUGCCUUGUACUGGGGGACAACAGUUGGAAACGACUGCUAAUACCGCAUAAGCGCACAGCUUCGCAUGAAGCAGUGUGAAAAACUCCGGUGGUACAAGAUGGACCCGCGUCUGAUUAGCUGGUUGGUGAGGUAACGGCCCACCAAGGCGACGAUCAGUAGCCGGCCUGAGAGGGUGAACGGCCACAUUGGGACUGAGACACGGCCCAAACUCCUACGGGAGGCAGCAGUGGGGAAUAUUGCACAAUGGGGGAAACCCUGAUGCAGCAACGCCGCGUGAGUGAAGAAGUAUUUCGGUAUGUAAAGCUCUAUCAGCAGGAAAGAAAAUGACGGUACCUGACUAAGAAGCCCCGGCUAACUACGUGCCAGCAGCCGCGGUAAUACGUAGGGGGCAAGCGUUAUCCGGAUUUACUGGGUGUAAAGGGAGCGUAGACGGUUUUGCAAGUCUGAAGUGAAAGCCCGGGGCUUAACCCCGGGACUGCUUUGGAAACUGUAGGACUAGAGUGCAGGAGAGGUAAGUGGAAUUCCUAGUGUAGCGGUGAAAUGCGUAGAUAUUAGGAGGAACACCAGUGGCGAAGGCGGCUUACUGGACUGUAACUGACGUUGAGGCUCGAAAGCGUGGGGAGCAAACAGGAUUAGAUACCCUGGUAGUCCACGCC
rnacentral:rRNA from 1 species